AUUGAACGCUGGCGGCAUGCCUAACACAUGCAAGUCGAGCGGAUGAACGGAGCUUUCUCCUGGAUUCCGCGGCGGACGGGUGAGUAAUGCCUAGGAAUCUGCCUUGUCGUGGGGGAUAACGUCCGUACACGGGCGCUAAUACCGCAUCCGUCCUGAUGGUGAACCUGGGUGUUCUUUGGACCUCACGCUUUCUGCUGACCCUAGGUCGUAUUAGCUAGUUGGUUGGGUAAAUGCCUACCAAGGCGACGAUGCGUAACUGAUCUGAGAGGAUGAUCGGUCACACUGGAACUGAGACACGGUCCAGACUCCUACGGGAGGCAGCAGUGGGGAAUAUUGGACAAUGGGCGAAAGCCUGAUCCAGCAAUGCCGCGUGUGUGAAGAAGGUCUUCGGAUUGUAAAGCACUUUAAGUUGGGAGGAAGGGAAGUAAGUUAAUACCUUGCUGUAUUGACGGUACCAAAAGAAAAAGCACCGGCUAACUACGUG
rnacentral:rRNA from 1 species